CCCAAAUGUCUUUCACCUCUAUAUAUCUGAGUAUAGAAAGUUUGACAGAGAGCAGCUGGCACACAGUUUACCAGUAUGGGCUACAAGACAGGACUACUGAUUUUGACGAUCUGCUUUGCAGGUGUUGAUGGUCAAACCCUGACUGAGUCUGAACCAGCAGUUAAAAGGCCUGGAGAAUCCCACAGACUGACCUGUACGACCUCUGGAUUCACAUUCAGCAGCUACGCUAUGGACUGGGUCAGACAGGCUCCUGGAAAAGGACUGGAGUGGAUCGCUUUUAUACACACAGGCAGUUCCCAUAUCUAUUACUCCCAGUCAGUCCAGGGUAGAUUCACCAUCUCCAGAGAUGAUUCCAGCAGUAAACUCUAUCUACAGAUGAACAGCUUGAAGACUGAGGACACAGCAGUUUAUUACUGUGCCCGACACAACACAGUGAGAGAAAAUAAUAGGAGAGCCAUACAAAAACUUCCUCUUUUACAGCAACGGGGAACAGAAGAGAAAAGAUUACUUAAGUUUUGGAAAUAAUGUUGUUUAUUAUGA